GUCUGUUUCUUGACCAGUACAGAAGCAGUCUGGUGGAUGCACUAAGAAGAUUACUGCGACCUGAUGACACGAGACACGCUGGCAGAAAGCACAGGCCUGAGAGUGUGUCGCUGUGACAGCUACGACUCACAUCUGUGGGACCUUCACCUGAAGAUGCAGAGAGAAGGAAAGGAGGUGUACGAUGAGAACAUCCACUAUCCUCUUCUCCUCACUCUCACUCACGGAUCCAGUCCAGCCCUGAUCUCAGCUGGAAAAAAGCCAUCUCAUGCCAGGCUGCCUUUCAGUACCACCCACCCCGGCUUUGCCACUGUGUCCUCAGCUCCUGUAUGUGUGUGUGUGUGUGUGUGUGCGCCAGGACCAACCAGCCUCUAAUCAUACUCCUCAACUCUGAUAAUUUUUUAAAACUACCAUGUGUGUGUGUGUGUGUGUGCAGUGAAACAGACUAUGUAGGUGAGUUGCCGUGUGUGUGUGUGUGUGUGUGUACUUGACCUUUUUACUGUGCAACAACAGUGUGAAAUGCAUAAAAUGGGAAUGGAGAACACAUCCCUCCGUCUCAUCCUACAAAAACUGUGGAUGUGACGCUUAGAUAUGAACUCAUUCAAUGACUGUGAGUAUGCGUGAUAUCAGAGAUGAUGUUUCAGGGCAGAACAUUAUGAAUUUAUGAAUUCGACUCUAGAGGCUGAUACAGCUAAUCAGGUUCGCAGGACUAUCUUGGCCUCUUUACAAAAACAUAAAUGAGGCGCAGGGUCGUCUUGAUCAUGAGAUCUUGUUAUCAUAAUGACACCAGCUCUCAGUUAGCUGCUGAUUCUGUAUCUACAAUCAAAGGUUCAUUCUGACACCAAAGGUCAUGAAGGGUUGAGAUGGAUGCAGCUGUGCUGAAUGUUAUUUGCUUCACUGUGAAAUGCUCUCACCUGGCAUUUUUUUAUUGAAGAACUGACGAGAUAUGACCGAUUAGGCCAGCCUAAGACUGAAUUGAUGUCUUGACAGCGUCACACUAGCACUGGUCAGACCUGCAGCACUGUUCUCCUGUAUGUUUGAGUGCACUCACACUGCAUGCUGGACUAAUGGCCAUAGAAUGUCAGAUGGAUUAUUUGUAGCAGGAUGUCCAAAUUGGUCAUUUCUAUACAAUUAAAGUGAAUGGUAAUCAUAAGUAUCGUUUUCAAAGAAUAGUAACUUAAGUUUUAGUCUUUUUUUGAAUGCAAAAGCUUUAGAGAUAUAGAUUAACGUGAAAGCUGGGUGGACUGGGUGCUAUUUUGCCCUUUUUUGGAACUUGACAGUCUCUGGUCUUCAUCCACUUUGAUAGCAUAGAUAAGAGCAGUAUGGACAUUCUGCAAAACUUCUCUUUUUAUGUUUCAUGAAGGAAAGAAAAUAUGCGUUUGGAAAUGGGUGAGUAAUCAUGAUGAUUUUCAAGUUUAAAUUAAAUUCAUAAUUACAGUUCAUAGGAGUUCAGUUUAGAUGCCACUCUCUGCCAUAGAAUAAAAAUUAAGACAUUUUAUUGUGAUUUCUCACUUUUUUUUUCUUUUUUUUUAUUAAGUCUAUAUCUAGGAUUCUGACUUUUUCCUUAACUAUAAAUCUACAUCCUGCAGGGUUUUUUUCACUGUGGGAUAAACUAAAUAAAAAAGAGAACUAUGACUUUUUUCUCAUGAUUCUGACUGAAGUUUACAUCUCCCA